rnacentral:rRNA from 1 species
GACGAACGCUGGCGGCGUGCUUAACACAUGCAAGUCGAACGGAAAGGCCCUGCUUUUGUGGGGUGCUCGAGUGGCGAACGGGUGAGUAACACGUGAGUAACCUGCCCUUGACUUUGGGAUAACUUCAGGAAACGGGGGCUAAUACCGGAUAGGAGCUCCUGCGGCAGGGUGGGGGUUGGAAAGUUUCGGCGGUUGGGGAUGGACUCGCGGCUUAUCAGCUUGUUGGUGGGGUAGUGGCUUACCAAGGCUUUGACGGGUAGCCGGCCUGAGAGGGUGACCGGCCACAUUGGGACUGAGAUACGGCCCAGACUCCUACGGGAGGCAGCAGUGGGGAAUAUUGCACAAUGGGCGGAAGCCUGAUGCAGCAACGCCGCGUGCGGGAUGACGGCCUUCGGGUUGUAAACCGCUUUCGCCUGUGACGAAGCGUGAGUGACGGUAAUGGGUAAAGAAGCACCGGCUAACUACGUG